AGCAGCCGCGGUAAUUCCAGCUCCAAUAGCGUAUAUUAAAGUUGUUGCAGUUAAAAAGCUCGUAGUUGAAUUUCGGGAUCAAUAUGUCGGUCGUGCCUUCGGUACGUACUGGUAUCAUUGGUCUCUCCUUUCUGACGAACCAUGAUGUCAUUAAUUUGGUGUUAUGGGGAGUUUAGGACUGUUACUUUGAAAAAUUAGAGUGUUUAAAGCAAGCUAACGCUUGAAUACAUUAGCAUGGAAUAAUGAAAUAGGACGUUCGAUCCUAUUUUGUUGGUUUCUAGGAUUGACGUAAUGAUUAAUAGGGAUAGUUGGGGGCAUUAGUAUUCAAUUGUCAGAGUGAAAUUCUUGGAUUUAUUGAAGACUAACUACUGCGAAAGCAUUUGCCAAGGAUGUUUUCAUUAAUCAAGAACGAAAGUUAGGGGAUCGAAGACGAUCAGAUACCGUCGUAGUCUUAACCAUAAACUAUGCCGACUAGGGAUCGGAUGAUGUAAUUUUUAANGUACUUAUUCGCGCCUUACGG
rnacentral:rRNA from 1 species